rnacentral:misc_RNA from 1 species
GAAAUGCGAUAAGUAGUGUGAAUUGCAGAAUUCAGUGAAUCAUCGAAUCUUUGAACGCACAUUGCGCCCUUUGGUAUUCCAAAGGGCAUGCCUGUUCGAGCGUCAUUUGUACCCUCAAGCUUUGCUUGGUGUUGGGCGUCUUGUCUCUAGCUUUGCUGGAGACUCGCCUUAAAGUAAUUGGCAGCCGGCCUACUGGUUUCGGAGCGCAGCACAAGUCGCACUCUCUAUCAGCAAAGGUCUAGCAUCCAUUAAGCCUUUCUUCAACUUUUGACCUCGGAUCAGGUAGGGAUACCCGCUGAACUUAAGC